UGCCAUGGCAGCAGAGCAGGCUGAGGCCCAGCCGCGCCGAUGCCCAAACUGCCGCUCUCGCCGGUGCCCGAGCAGGAGGCCGACGCGGCGGGGGAUCGGCUCUCCGGUGGCGCGUCCUCUGCGUCCCUCGCUCCGAGCGCCUCCAGCUCGCGGAACUCGGAGACUUUUUCGAGGUCCCCUGAUAUAUCAGAAUCCAUCUGCCAGGAGAACAGCGCCUGCUUCUUGAAGAAAGCAUUAAACUAUUCUGAAGAAGAAGCUGAGGAAGAAGAAUCAGAAUCAGAAGACGAUCAAGAGGAAGAGUGGGACACAGACCUUGAAAUAGAAAACUCUACAAUAUGCUAUGAUCCUGCCGGGAAAGCCAGAUACCUUGCGAUCUGUCAAGCGUACGGCGUGGUUCCUAUCUCUUAUUUUUUACGGCAUAUGAAAGAUUCUGAACUGACUCUGAACCAUCGUGGCCUUAACCCUAAGGCAGUCAAGGCUCUCGCUCUUUCCCUGACCAGCAACACGUCCAUUGUGAAGCUGAACCUGUGUGACAACGGGCUGGAUGGACACGGAGCAAUUGCGAUGGCGGAGAUGUUAAAGGAAAAUUGCUACAUUUCAGAACUUGAUUUAUCAGAGAACAGAGUCGGGAUGAAAGGGGCAGAAGCUCUGUCCACAGUGCUUCGGGAAAAUCCAGUUCUUGUGACCAUGAAACUUUCAGGAAAUGAAUUAAAUGACAGGGCAGCCAAAUACCUGGCAGAUGCUUUAGUGACCAAUCAGAAAGUAGAGCACCUUGAUCUGAGUCAUAACAUGCUCGGAGAGAUAGCAGGAGAAGCUCUUGGAGUGGCCAUGGUGGAAAAUGUGGGGCUGAAGGAACUCAACCUCAGCUGGAACAACUUUCGGGGCCGAGGAGCAGUGGCUGUCGCCAAAGGCUUGGGGGGGAAUAUAUUCCUUCGAGUUCUUGAUCUGUCAUAUAACGGCUUUGGCAACAGUGGUGCAGCUGCACUGGGGGCAGCCCUGAAAAGCAACGAUGUGCUGGAAGAACUCCACAUUGGGAAUAAUCGCAUUGCCUUGGAAGGCGCCCUCGCGCUGGCUUUGGGCCUGAAAGGAAACAAGAUCCUGAGGAGACUCAAGAUGUCCAGGAACCCCAUCCAGAACGAAGGCUGCCUCGGGAUCCUCAAGGCCAUUCGAACAAAUCCCGGAGCUGCAAUGGAACUUCUGGAUUUUUCAGUAGGUGUUGGUCAAAGAGGGGAAAAAACUGGCUGAUCUGAAAUGACGAUGCAGGAUUGUCAAAAUGGAUGGGGAACGGAACACCCUUCGUUGCAAUUGUGGUGAAGCAGGACUUUGUCCGGGCGUGUGAAGCUGUCCAAGAACUUUUCCCGAGCCUUCUGAUCCACCAUGAUGGAACCACUCGCUUGUUCAGAAGAAAACUUUCAAAGGUUUCCUAAAGAGAUUCCUGGUGGCCCUGGAAGAUCCGCCUUUUCUUGUUGACGUCCCAGAUGGGAGCACCCCAUGAAACGUCUGGUGAUGCUUGAUAGAGGUCCAGGCUUUGUGAUCCCCUCCCCACCUCCAUGCUUCUCUUUGUGCUAGAACCAGCAUGUUGUGUGAAAUGCGCCUUUUCAUAUGCUGAAUGAUUGUGGCAGGGAUCUGCUUCCAAGGAUUUUGGCAUCCUGCUCAUAGCAAUAUGAGGGGAUUCGUUGGCACAGGAGGCGAAAGCACUCCUAGCAAUUUUCCCUUCGAGGCAAAACCCUCCAGUGAUUGUCUGAGCCGACCUCAAUUGAGGCUAACAGGAAGCCGAUAAAAAUCUGGGCAGGAACUUUGGAUGCAUUCUGUGGAGUUUGGAAACUGCUCUUCUAUCCAAAACUCUGUCCCGGUACUUUUAGCCAAAUUGUUUUGUGUGCCAUCCUCAACAGCAACCUUUCCUCUUGCACAAUUUGCGCAGCUUCCCCUGAAAACAUUUCCAGGAUUGCCAGGAUUGUACAGCAUGCUUCCUGGCUGGACAUGGUCCCAGAGGAAGUAGUCUCGUCCCCCACAUCUCAGGCAGCCCAGCCCUGAUGGCCAGCAGGUGAAGGUGACCUGGGUGGGCGUAGCCAUGGUGGGCGUGGCCUAGUCAGCCUCCUGCACCACAGUUGCGGGGGGGGGGGGUUGUCCUCCCCGGGCUCCGGAGGUUUUCCUCAAGCCUCCGGGAGGGCAAAAAACGGCCUCCCCAGGCUCUGGAGGCCAGAAAUGGGUGGAGCCGAGAGAAAGCUGAAGGAAGAAGGCAGCAAGGGUUGGGGAGAGAAGAAGGGUACCCCCACCCGGCCCAAAAAAAUGUGUGGGUCAAGCAGUGGAUUACUUCCAGGCUGAUUACUCGAUAUGGGGCCAUUUGUAGUAAAUAAUGUAUCUCAUUCCAGUUCUCUUUUUAUUUUAUUUUUUAUUUUUCUUUUUGUAAACUUCAGUUUUGCCAAUCUUGUCAGAGAAAUAUUGUAUUGUUGUUAAAUUGAGAUGUAUUCUGCCCAGAAUCACUUUGUGCGAGAUGGGCGGCUGUAUAAAUUUUAAUAAAUAAAUAAAUCUAAAUCUAUACACA